UAGCUGAGGGCUCGCGGGGUGCGGGGGAGCCUGGGAAUGGUGGGGUUCAGUUUGGGACUGGCAAUCCAGUGCAUAAAGGACACCCUAGAAGUCUCGUGUUGCACCUCGGGGGACCCUGCUGGGGCCCAAAAGCCAGGCUGAACUCUCGAACUUCUGGGCUCAAGCGAUUCUCUUGCCUCAGCCUCCUGAGUAGCUGAAGCUACAGGGGGCUUGGAUCUUCCUCUGAUAGUUCUACUUCAUUCUGUCAAAGAUCCAAUUCCCGAAAGAGUUUUUUUCAUCAUCUUCAAACAUCCGGAAUUGGCUCACACAAUUACAGAGGCUGAGAGGCCAUACUAUCUGUCAUGUGCAUGCAGGAGAACCAGGAAUGCUGGUGGUGUAAUUCAGUACAAGUCAGAAGACCUGGGAACCAGGGAGCUGAUGGGGCCCUCAGUGUAUUGGAUGAUACCUGCCAAUACUGGAAAGGCCAUGUGACCACACACCAAGAAGCUAGCUGUCUGCCAGCCAGGAAGAGAGCCCUGACCAGUAAUCAAAUUGGCUGAAGACUUGAUCUUGGACUCCUUGUCUCCAGAAACUGCUGUAGUAUCCUAGGGGUCUACUCCAGUCCCUGGUUACCUCGAAUUUUCCAGUCCCUGGAUGUCUCACCAGUGAAGGUUGUGAAACAGCAAAAAUGGCAGCCUGCACCCUCCUCUGGGAGCUCCAUCCCAAGAAGAUGUUGGCACUUCUUAGGAAGGAGCCAUCCAUGUCUGAAGAGAAGAAAUGAUAAUUAACUUCAUCAUGUGGAAAGCUUUAGAAGGAAGUAUCUUGUCCUUCUGUCCAAACCCGCCUCCUCCUUACCACCCCCAAUAAAAAUAAAAGCCAAACAAAUAAAACAUUAGCAGUAGCUCUGAGUUUCUUCCUUUCACUUUUUCUCUCUCUUCAUGCCUUUUCUCCUCCAUUCCUUCCUUCUUUCAAAUCAUUUUUACUAGUUUAAGAGAAUAAUUCAAUCUAUAUUUAGAAAUCAGACUUAAAACUUCAAAAAUUAUACUGAAAUAGCUUCCCCUUAAAGGGUGAAACAGUCAUGAUAAAAAUAACAACCGA
rnacentral:lncRNA from 10 species